UGAAAUAAUAAAUAAAUUUUAUUUAAAAAAAAAGCCUAAUGAAAUCCAGGCUUGUGGACAAGUUUAUAAAUAUGGGCAUCUACAUUUUAUUUUCUGUAGAGCUUCAAUGAGACUUAGCACCAUUGUCCCCCAUGCUAUCAUUCUGCCCAUCUUUUCUUCUUUGUUAGGUGAAUUCGUGAACUCCUGGAGGAUGGGGACGAUGACACAUUCAUUUUUAAAUUUCCUAAGUUUCUUUCCAGAUGCCAGAGGAAUUAUGAAAUUUUCAUACAUCCAAGAGUCACCUGGAGAGCCCAUAACACGUGCAAACCCCCAGAGCCCUUUGCAGGAGAUGAAAAGGACACCUAAAGCCCUCUGGAGGUGCAAAGCCCAGAUCUGCCAGGUUGGAAGGGGAACGGCUUUUCCCGGGAGACUCAGAAUUAAACUGACAAAAAACAGAUUAGCAAAAGAAGAGAAGAGUUUCUUUAGGCCUGCAACGUGCACACCUGGGGAGGUUUGCAUAACAUACAUAUGAAUGUGAGCAAUUAUGAACAUCCGCGUAACAACCUCUUGGAACAAGAAGCACAUUAGCAACAAGUCCUGGGUACCUCCUGUUGAAUCGACACUGUGCUGGGGACGCAGGACCUCCGCCUGACACCACAGAGGGAGUGGCUGUUGACCCCGGUCCACGGGGCUGGUAGAGAUCAGACUGCGAUUCGGUGACUCACCAGCUGUGGACCUUCGGUCACUUUCCCUGCCUCGGAGCCUCGGUCUCCUCACACACGCCGUGUUGGAGGGACACCUAUCUCAUAAGCUUGUUUGCGGAUUGAGCACGUGAGCCCUGCCUCUGUGCCGCCCCAGCGGGCCUGAAGUCACGGUGUUUCAGCACACUAGGCUGCCGCCCUGGGCAGGUGUCUCUUCUGCAUCCCCUCACCCAGCAUCAAGACCGAAAGUACACUGUUACAGCAGAUAGCCCAGUGACUUUCAAUGACGUUUGGUCAAAGGGAAAGGGGGAUUUUGUGGUCACGAUAGCUGGGAAGCAGUGCUGACUUCAAUGGGAGGGACAGGGCCACGAAACACCGUGGAACGUGGAAAGCGUGGCCUCCCCAAGAACGUCGUCAGCAUCCCCUUUGAGAAACAAAGCCACGUCUGAGAGUCCAGAAGGAAAUAAAAAAGGAUUGAACAAGC